rnacentral:lncRNA from 1 species
ACCCAUGUCAAGAGGAUUUGUUGCUUCAGUGAAUGGGGAAGGUUUGGAGGACUUGGGUGCUCAGAAGAACAAUGGAGUGAGCUAUCAGCUGGAUGGGGAGAGCACUGUGGUACCUUGGUGGCAGAAGAAGAACGCCAGAAAAACUGAGCCUGAUAAUGAGGAAGCGAAACCAGUUCCUGCCAUCACACAGCCCCUUGAGCAACCAAUUCAGCGGAGUUGGGUGCCUCCCCAACCACCACCUAUUGCAAUGCCCGAAGCAG